UACGAAGGUGGCAAGCGUUGUUCGGAUUUACUGGGCGUACAGGGAGCGUAGGCGGUUGGAUAAGCCCUCCGAUGAAAUCUCCAGGCUUAACCUGGAAAGUGCAGAGGGGACUGUUCAGCUAGAGGAUGGGAGAGGAGCGCGGAAUUCCCGGUGUAGCGGUGAAAUGCGUAGAGAUCGGGAGGAAGGCCGGUGGCGAAGGCGGCGCUCUGGAACAUUUCUGACGCUGAGGCUCGAAAGCGUGGGGAGCAAAGCAGG
rnacentral:rRNA from 1 species